UGAAGAUCUAUGAAUCGGUGCUUAC
rnacentral:piRNA from 1 species